GCAUCUAUAAAAACCGAAGCAAAACUAAAAAUAUAUUUCCAAAUCAAUAAAUAUAUCAUGCAAUCCCAUAAAAACAUAUGAAAUACAUAUGUAUUAUUCAAAAAUACAUAUGCAUUACUCAUAAAUACAUAUGCACAACUGGAAAAAUACAUAUUCUUUCUUUUCGUUUGGCUUCCUCUUUUUCACAUAUUUUUGCACUUUUUGGAGAUUUUGAAGAUGAAUGUUUUCUCAAUGUUUUCCGUUUCGCGAUUUCCCCAAUA
rnacentral:lncRNA from 1 species